rnacentral:ncRNA from 1 species
GUGCUGGUUGAGCCGAGAGAAGGUUAGCAUCUCCCUGCAUAAGGACGGGAAAAGACUCCGGUCUUCAACUCACAUCGUGUUAAGGCUAGUAACACAACUUUUUU